CACUGAUGUGAUGAUUUUUUUUUUCCGGAAAUUAUGAUGUCGACUUAAUAAAUCAGACUACAAUUAUCUGAUCUCUG